AAGUGGAAUAGGAUUUGGCCAUGUGAAGAUGCUCACUGUAGACAAAGAGAAAUAUGUCUUAUCUACUACACUAGUUGUUCUUAUAGCUGAGGAGGAGUAUCUGUAGAGAUAAUCCCUUGUAAGCAUGACCUGUCAAUAAAAAUACUAUGGCCAAUGAGCUGAGGCAAAAUAUAGGAGGUGGGACAUCUGGCAGGCAUAGAGAGAAUUCUGGGAAGUAGAGGGUGGAGAUUCACUUGGGAAAGCUGAGGAGCGGACCUAGACCUGCAGCAUGUGGUUCAGGCUCUUUCUCAAAUUUAAGAUCCUCUGGCCUCAGCUUUAGAAAAAACAACCAAGCUGCCUGGAAGAGGUUUAGACCAGAGAGUCACUUGGAAAGGACACUCUCCAACCUGUUGAGCUGCCUGCAGGCUGUGCAGUGUGCUCCAAGUUCCCAGCUCUGUGAGCUGUCACCCAUGCUGGGUGGGCCUUGGUGAUAUAGCUGUCUUUGAGACAUUUCUGCUUCUGUAAAUAAUCUCUCACCCAUAUUCCUAUAAGUAACCCCAAUAAAACUCUUUGGUUUACCAA